rnacentral:rRNA from 1 species
CUUCAAAUCGAGUGGCGAACGGGUGAGUAACACGUAUCCAACCUGCCGAUGACUCGGGGAUAGCCUUUCGAAAGAAAGAUUAAUACCCGAUGGCAUAGUUCUUCCGCAUGGUAGAACUAUUAAAGAAUUUCGGUCAUCGAUGGGGAUGCGUUCCAUUAGGUUGUUGGCGGGGUAACGGCCCACCAAGCCUUCGAUGGAUAGGGGUUCUGAGAGGAAGGUCCCCCACAUUGGAACUGAGACACGGUCCAA